AUUUUGAAGGGUUUGGUCUUUAUUUCUCAAAGACAGGAUGAAAACCCUUGCUGAGAGCUCUAUCGCACACGUAGCGUCGACCAAGGCAGAAGUAAGAGCACCAUGCUUAUGCUGUGGUUUUAUUUAGAUUGCUUAAUCUUUCCGAAUGUUAGCAACUGGGAACAUGCUCUUCAGUGAAGGGCCCUGAAUCUUCUCAAGCUUGUUGUGCUUGUCCAACAUGGGGACCUUAUCGAUCUUAUGGAUAGCGUGAAAUAGCCGCAGCAGGUCUUCGCCCAAGACACCAGCAAAUGCACCAAGGCCAGUUACCUUGAGGAUGACUUGAUUGUCUCUCUCCAUGUUUAGCCACGCCAGCCAAGCCUUAUAGAGGCGCUCCUCCUCCUGCCUUUGCUCCAAUGAGUCUAGAUGAUGAAGCCUCCGCAUACGGGCUUCAAGUUGCACCUCGUCCGGUUCAGCAGACUCUUCCGUUUCCGAAAACUCCUCUUCCACCUGUUCCUUGUCCUUGGCUGCUAUGACACAGCUUUCGUCUUCAUGUUCUUCCUCAGUGCAGCUUCGACGUCGUACGGAUCCACAAGAACCGCCUCUGCCCCCAUAAUAUCGCCCACGUUCAUGUAGAGGCUCAAGAAAGGGAGCGCGUCUGAGAUUUGGACCCCACCGUACUGCGGCGACACCUUGGCUAAGCCACCAUCUCCCGGAUUGGUGAUACGGAGCUUCACCUGUACGUGCACCAAAGUCACCUGUGCGACCAUGGCAGAAAGAAGUCGACUCCCCAUGUCCCGUCGUAGCAGAUGAUCGCACAGACAUUCUCAUUCGUGAACGUCAACUUGCCACGCGCAACCUCUUCAGCUGGUCGGUGUCCAAGCUCCUUAACUCCUGUACUUGCAUCGCCUGCUGUCGUCUAUGCUUCCCGCUCCUGUACUUGGCAAAUUCUGUCAGAGAUUUCCCAACCAAGUGCUCGAUGAACUUGUCCACAGUACAGGAACUCUCUUCGCUGCUUGCUUUAUCAAAUGCCCGUAGAAGGAUGAGCCUAGCAGUACCUCGUGCAGGUGAGAGUAUAGUUCAACGUUCCUCUUGUCUUCAUCCAGCUUCCUCAUCACCUGGGCAGCAGCCUGUGCGAACACGGGCUCCAUAGCCGUGCCAACCCAGAUUUGCUUGCGAUUUGGCUCCACCUUGACGACGGUCAUGAGAUGCGCCGCGACCAGCUUGCUUGUAAGGCUAUAGGUAGGAUCGAAGUCGAUGGCACACCUCGCCCCUAACACAGCUAAAGCGGCAGCCGUUGUCAGAUGCCCCUUCUCGACCAUGUAAGUAUUCCACGCGCUUCCGCCUCCAAGUAGCUUGUUGCGUGCCAUAUUUAUCACCUUUCGCAGGGCAACCUUCGGUGUGAGCUUUUUGGCUAGAGCGCCGCGGAAGACAGCCCACCACAGAGGCCGUCCAUAGUGCAGAGGAUAGUGCUCUGAUAGUAUACCCGCAUCCAGUCCGUGAGCUUAUCUGCACAGAAGCAGCCCCAAAUCGGAGACGCCAGGCUAAAAGCUUCUAAAGCCAGCCUGUCUGAAGGUUGUAACGAAUCCGGAAUUGCGAAAUUUGGUAACAGGAAAUGAGUAUCUGAGAAGACCGCCAGCACACCGUCAUCCGGCUGAAGCGCUGCUGUUGCACGGCGCAAAGGUAGGGAAAUGUUGUUGUCUAUCCCGCUACCGAGCAAUUCCCUUGCUUCGUCAAAGACGAGCAACAGUCGAAGUCCUGCCUUUUGAGGCAGGUGACAGAUGGCCUCCUGCAUAAUCGUCUGCGCCUCUGUUUCCCAAGAGUAAAAGUUCUCCUCCCUGCUUUCCUCCGGUUCAUAGAAGACGUUCAGUUGAUCCAGCAGUGUCGGAUACAUACCCGAUAUCCUCGCCUUGACAUCUUUCCAGAAGUUUACUCCCGUUAGCGUUACCCAUGUAGAGAGACUGUACGAAGGUCUCCUGGUUUAUCCCUUCCUCUGCGGCCUUAGCAACCUGUUCAAUGCAAGCUAUUAUGUAAGCCAGGAAGAAAGCCAGGCAGAAAGCCAUGCAGUGCAGUUGAGCAUGAAGAUCUAUGCUCAGCCCGUCCCUAGCCCUUGCACAGAACCAGUCUGCUAUGUAGGAUUUCUUUGGAUAACCUGCCCCAGGUUGCUGGGAACAGUAGACGACCCAAACAUUCUUCCGAUGCAGCUCGCAAAUCAUGCGCGAUUUUCCCCAACCACUGGAGAAGCGAUGCGAGCGAAAGUGGACUCUUUAAGCACCACUUCCGGAGCGUCGUAUAGAACUCCCACAUUUGACUCCGAGACGAAUCUCAGGCGGAACGCUUCAUCUGCAAACACAUAAGAUCAAACCAUGAUGGCGCAUGGGUGCACAAGCUUACUUGUAACCAUAGAGACCAUCCGUGUUUAAG
rnacentral:lncRNA from 1 species